UGGGGAAUAUUGCACAAUGGGCGCAAGCCUGAUGCAGCCAUGCCGCGUGUAUGAAGAAGGCCUUCGGGUUGUAAAGUACUUUCAGCGAGGAGGAAGGCGUUGUGGUUAAUAACCGCAACGAUUGACGUUACUCGCAGAAGAAGCACCGGCUAACUCCGUGCCAGCAGCCGCGGUAAUACGGAGGGUGCAAGAGUUAAUCGGAAUUACUGGGCGUAAAGCGCACGCAGGCGGUCUGUCAAGUCGGAUGUGAAAUCCCCGGGCUCAACCUGGGAACUGCAUCCGAAACUGGCAGGCUAGAGUCUUGUAGAGGGGGGUAGAAUUCCAGGUGUAGCGGUGAAAUGCGUAGAGAUCUGGAGGAAUACCGGUGGCGAAGGCGGCCCCCUGGACAAAGACUGACGCUCAGGUGCGAAAGCGUGGGGAGCAAACA
rnacentral:rRNA from 1 species